AUCACCUGCUUCAGGAUGUAGUUGAUGCAGGUAAUGGAAACUGUACCAGUGAGACUGCAGUUCCUAUGCUCUGAUCCUGGAAGAACCAGAGGCAGCAUAGUGAGGGAAGAUGGAGUGUAAUAGAAAAGUGGCAACAUGAUGAAAGAACAGAUCAGCUCCUCCUUUCUCCAUUCUUGGUCCCUGGUUCAAAGCCACAGGCAAGACCUCAACCACAGGGACAGGAGUAGCAUUGACCCAAAGAAAAAAAAUGCUCAGCUUGAGUAGCAGAGACCAGGUGGAAGAUUGGGGGAAAAAAGGACUUGAGAUAUUAUCAUCUCAAAGUUAUCCAUCAAAGAGGAAUUUCUUCUCUUGCAAAGAAAGUUUUUGCUCUUCAUGUUAAAAUUUC